AUACUUACCUGGCAGGGGAGAUACCAUGAUCACAAUGGUGGUUUUCCCAGGGCAAGGCUUAUCCAUUGCAAGGCUUAUCCAGAUGUGCUAACCCCUGUGAUUUCCCCAAAUGUGGGAAACUUGACUGCAUAAUAUGUCGUAGUGGGGACUACGUUCAUGCUCUCCCCUG
rfam:Erinaceus europaeus unplaced genomic scaffold scaffold00214, whole genome shotgun sequence